rnacentral:rRNA from 1 species
GCGCGAAAACUUUGCAAUGUGCGAAAGCACGAUAAGGUUAAUCCGAGUGAUUCACUAACGAAUAAGGGGUGGGCAAGUCUGGUGUCAGCCGCCGCGGUGAAACCAGCACCUCAAGUGGUCAGGAUGAUUAUUGGGCCUAAAGCAUCCGUAGCCGGCUCUGUAAGUUUUCGGUUAAAUCUGUACGCUUAACGUACAGGCUGCCGGGAAUACUGCAAAGCUAGGGAGUGAGAGAGGUAGACGGUACUCGGUAGGAAGUGGUAAAAUGCUUUGAUCUAUCGAUGACCACCUGUGGCGAAGGCGGUCUACCAGAACACGUCCGACGGUGAGGGAUGAAAGCUGGGGGAGCAAACCGGAUUAGAUACCCGGGUAGUCCCAGCUGUAAACUAUGCAAACUCAGUGAUGCAUUGGCUUGUGGCCAAUGCAGUGCUGCAGGGAAGCCGUUAAGUUUGCCGCCUGGGAAGUACGUACGCAAGUAUGAAACUUAAAGGAAUUGGCGGGGGAGCACACAAGGGGUGAAGCUGCGGUUCAAUUGGAGUCAACGCCAGAAAUCUUACCCGGAGAGACAGCAGAAUGAAGGUCAAGCUGAAGACUUUACCAGACAAGCUGAGAAGUAGUGCAUGGCC